GUUGCCAUCUGUCAGCUGAAGUGUUCUGCACAUUCACUGUUUGCUCAGCAUAACACAGACCAGUAGUAUUUGUCAGUAUGAGUUCCUGCACUGUGCCAAGAUAUGUGGUAAUCACCCACUGAAUGGUACCUUUCUAAAAGAGUCAGUGUUGUCUUAAACCACUUCAAAGUGAGCUCAAAAGCUUGCCUUUCUGUUCUGUGGUGUCUUCACAUUCUGACUCCAAAAACAGACAGCUUUUCUUUAAAAAUUCAGACCAUAUUAACUCUAUAAGAAGUAAAUACUUGUAACUGUGUUGCUCAGUUCAGGCUUUGUGACCUUGCCAGCUGCAAUCUGAAGACAUUUGUCAGAAUUCUAGUGCUAUAUAUUUUUCAUCACUUGCAGUAUUUCACCAGUGGCAUUAACCAGUUGGCAAUUUUCUCUCCAGUUCAUUUAUUUAUGGCAAAUCUGAAGGGAAAACAUUUGGUACCACUGUCCCUGAGAUCUCAAAUGCCACAAGCACAUGGAGGGUGGAAAAUCCAUUGGAAAAAUGGAUUUUAUAAUGGCAAGUAUUGGCUGGAGCUUUGUGGAAUCACGCAGAAAUGGAUCCUUGAACCUAAGAUAUUUUUGAACACCUUUGAUUACCCAAAACUCAUUGUUACAUCAUUGAUUCUCUCAAAGCAAAGUACUUACUCCCAGGAAUUAAACAAUAUCAGUGACUGGAAGUGGGAUUGUGAAAUAAUCCUCACCACAAUUAACAGCCUGGGACAACUGUAAAGUCUUUCAUGGAGUCUUUAUUAUCAGUGCUUACAGAAUAGGGCAUCACUCGUUUGAACUCAAUCUAUGGCUUUGAAUUUGUCAGAUAUAAGAGGACAAUUGUACAAUGCUAUUCUUCACUUUUUUAUGUGACAGCAGGUUUCAUUUGCCUCAGUAAGUUUGAAGAUGACACCAAGUUGGCAGAAAGUGUCAAUCUGCCUGAAGGUAGGAAGACCCUACAGAGGGAUCUGGACAGGCUGGAUAGCUGGACUGAGGCCAGUGGGAUGAAGUUCAACAAGACCAAGUGCUGAGUCCUGCACUUUGGUCACAACAACCCCAGGCAAUGCUACAGGCUUUGGGCAGAGUGUCUGGAAGAAUGUGUAGAAGAAAUGGACUGAGUG
rnacentral:lncRNA from 1 species